CCUUGUUGGCGAAGUUACGGCUGUUCUCUACUCUCUCAUAGUAGAAACGCAUAUCGUUGCCCGGUGCGUUGCCGGUGAUCAGGG
rnacentral:tRNA from 1 species